GCCAGGUCACUUUACCCUGCCUUCAUGUACAUAUCUACCUCAAAUACCUUAUUAUUAUCUAUCCUGAUGCCAGGUCACUUUACCCUGCCUUCAUGUACAUAUCUACCUCAAAUACCUUAUUAUUAUCUAUCCUGAUGCCGAGUCACUUUACCCUGCCUUCAUGUACAUAUCUACCUCAAAUACCUUAUUAUUAUCUAUCCUGAUGCCGAGUCACUUUACCCUGCCUUCAUGUACAUAUCUACCUCAAAUACCUUAUUAUUAUCUAUCCUGAUGCCGAGUCACUUUACCCUGCCUUCAUGUACAUAUCUACCUCAAAUACCUUAUUAUUAUCUAUCCUGAUGCCAGGUCACUUUACCCUGCCUUCAUGUACAUAUCUACCUCAAAUACCUUAUUAUUAUCUAUCCUGAUGCCA